UACGUAGGUGACCAGCGUUGUCCGGAUUUACUGGGCGUAAAGAGCGCGCAGGCGGUCGUUCAAGUCGAGUGUGAAAGCCCCCGGCUCAACUGGGGAGGGUCACUCGAUACUGAUCGACUUGAAGGCAGGAGAGGGAAGCGGAAUUCCCGGUGUAGUGGUGAAAUGCGUAGAUAUCGGGAGGAAUACCGGUGGCGAAGGCGGCAUCCUGGACCGGAAUUGACACUGAGGAGCGAAAGCCAGGGGAGCAAACGGG
rnacentral:rRNA from 1 species